UACGUAUGGGGCAAGCGUUAUCCGGAUUUACUGGGUGUAAAGGGAGCGUAGGCGGUACGGCAAGUCAGAAGUGAAAGCCUGGGGCUCAACCCCGGAAUUGCUUUUGAAACUGUCGAACUAGAGUGUCGGAGGGGUAAGCGGAAUUCCUAGUGUAGCGGUGAAAUGCGUAGAUAUUAGGAGGAACACCGGUGGCGAAGGCGGCUUACUGGACGACCACUGAUGCUGAGGCUCGAAAGCGUGGGGAGCAAACAGG
rnacentral:rRNA from 1 species